GAAAACUAAGUGGAUGGACUCUACAGUAGGAUGGAAUGGACUGAAGAAAAGAAACCAUAGUGAACUAUCAAACAAAGCACCCAACUUCUAGGUAUGAAUGUUGGUGUAUCAAUGUCUGCAACGAGAGCUACGAAUAAGUCCACCUCACCUCUUUUGGCAUAGUUUGUUACGCAGCAAUAGAUACCUGAGUCAUGUUUAUAGAAACCUUGCAACACUACUCAGAAUAGACACAGUCUGACAAGCUUGCCUUUAGUGAAUUUUCCAGAAGAGAAACUGGUUUGCUUUCACAAUGGAAAGAUGACUUUAAAGAGACAGAGACAGAGAGAGAGAGGCAGAGGCACAGGCAGAGGGAGAAGCAGGCAUCAUGCAGGGAGCCCGACGUGGGACUCGAUCUGGGGUCUCCAGGAUCACGCCCUGGGCUGCAGGCGGCGCUAAACCACUGUGCCACCGGGGCUGCCCUGACUAAAGUUUCAAUCUUAGUUUAGUCUACCAGUUAGGAGAUGCAUAAACUUUGAUGAAUCAGUUCAUAUCUAGUAAUCAUUUAAUACCUAUUUUGUAAAACCAUAUAGUAACUAUAUGCUUACCUCAUAGGGUCGUUACAAAUAUAAAAUGAAUACUUAUUUCAUUCAUUUAACAAAAAUUUAUCAAGAAUCUAUUGUGCACAGGUUCCAGGGAUACAAAGAAUAAUAAUUCCUGGUACCUGCUCUCAAGGAGCUUACAGUGGUAGUUACAGAAUUUUAUAGGAGCUGUAACAGAGAGCAUUAUAAAGUGUUGAUGACUGGUUAACUCUGCUUGGGAAUUAAGGAAAAAUUCAACAGACAGAUUAGGCUCUGAUCUGCCUCUUGAAUGUGAGGAAGAAUUUGCCAGGUAGAGAAGUCAGGGAAUACAAGUAUCUUGUCUUCAGGUUUCCCAAGUGUGAAAAAGCAAGGUGUGCUCAGUGAAUGGGGGAAGGAGGUGAGGGGGGGAAGGCAGUUAAGGCUCUGGCAAAUAAACAGGAGGGGAUGGGAGGGAAGGUAGUGCCCUGUAUCCAUUGUUGGAAGGUUCUGGGUUAGAAAGUUCUGAUGCUGACGAUGAACUGAAAAAAGAGGAACCACAAUUACUUGGUAGCCUUAGGUGAUGGUACCCAUAUUCUAAUGUGAUUUUCUUCCUUUCUUAGAGGAGGAUGUUAACAAAAGGUAUAAAUAUAAAUCAGUAGGACUUAAUUGAAUAGUAUUCAAUUACUAACUUCUGUACAAAACUGGAUGGGGUAAAAUAUUCCUUUUUUAAAGUAAAUGCUUAGUUCUUUGGGUCAGGACAAUGCUUCAUAAAAGGUCCUAUCUUUUCAACAGGAUAAUUACAGGGCUCCCUAGAGGAAGAGUCAGCUUCACAAAACAACUGGAGCCUACAAGAAAUCAUUUAGACCUUCCAUUAUUUCCAAAGACUGAAUUAGUUGCUAGAAAUAAGCAUAUAUCAAAGUUACUCAUCUGUACUAAUGCUGCAGUCAAUAUGAUUGACAUUUAUCCAUGGGGCUAUAAUGGUAUAUGAUACAUUCAAGAUUAUAUAUUUGAGCAUAACAUAUUUAUAAAAGGCCAUUUCAAAAGAAAAAUUAUGCUGCCUUUUAAUUCUAGUGUUUUACUUGGGACAUUAUUUACAGGGGUUGCUGUUUCAAGAACAAUAAAAAUAAACAUCGACUAAUUACACAUCUAUUUACAAGUUUGUGGGUAGAUUGUAAAACCUUAAAAUGAAAUUGUAUUUUAUUUUCAACGUUAAAUUUACAUUAUUUAAGGGAUCAAUAUGCUAUAUAGAAAAGCGGAAAGACCUGGUUAUUUUAGACAGCACAUAAAAUAAAAUCAUGUUGUUAUUGAAUAGAAAUUUUUAAUCUUUUCCUUUCGGAUCAUGAAAUAAAUAGGACGUAAGGCUAAAAGGCUGUUUUUCAGCUAAGGUCUAUUCUUUGCAAUAAAUGGUAUUAAGCAACAAAACAAAUUGAUAUGUCAGUGCUUCUGACUGAAGAGAUUAUUGAUUAUAUCAAAGAAGGAUUCUUAAAACAAGAUAAUAUUCUUUCUCUGUUGACAACAAAUUAGCUAGUAUUGUAAUUGCUUUCUGCUUUUCUGCUUUCUGGUCAUGAUCUCAUCUUUGCAAGGUCUCUCAUCCUCGAGAAGAGCCUACUUCAUUUCCCAGAAGACCACAAAAGGAAGAAACCAAGUACUGAUUUGUCUUUCAUCAUUUAGGGUUUGCCCAGGUCUGGUUUCCUCCAAAGGCACUUUAGAAGCAACAACAGCAGCAGUAAGAUCAAAUUUCUUGUUUUGGUCUCGAGAACUCAUUAUUUUUUUAAAAAUUGCUACUUUUUAGGGGAUAUUUAAGUAAAGGUUCACUAAUUAUAUUUGCAAAAAUAAUGUUUCUUUGAUUUUAAGGAUCCUGCUUGCAUACUGGCAUAUUUACAUUCUAAAUAACAGCAGAAAUAUAAAUGUAAUAGAAAAUAUCUAUGUGUUUUCCCUCUAUGUAUUCUGUUUAUUUAUUCUCUUCCACACUAACUGUGAGCCUCUUGAAGGAAGACACUGUCUUUUUCUUCUUUAUGUUCACUAUGUAAUGAAAUAUAA